AAUGGAUCAAAAACCUUCAUUUAAAAGCCUAACCUAUAGAACUCUAGAAGAAAAUAGGGGUAAGUCCUCAUAACUUUAGAUUUGGCAAUGGUUUCUUAAAUAUGGCACCAACAGCACAGGCAACAAAAGAAGAAAUAGAUAAGUUGCAAUUCAUCAAAAUUAAAAACUUUCAUGAAUCAAAAGACUAUUUAUCAAAAGAGUGAAAAGACAACCCACGAAAUAGAUGAAAAUAUUUGCAAAUCCUAUAUCUGAUGAGGAUUUAAUAUCUAGAAUAUACAAAGGAUUUCUACAACUCAAAACAAAAAAAAAUCACACAAUUAAAAAUGAGCAAUGGACUUGAUAGAUAUUUCUCCAAAGAAGAUAUGCAAAUGGCCAAUAAGCACAUGAAAAAAAUGCUGAACAUCAUUAGUCAUUAGAGAAAUGCAAAUCAAAACCACAAUGAGAUCCUACUUCACACCCACUAAGAUGGCCAUAAUAAAAAGCACAGAAAAUAAUAAGUGUUGGCAAGGAUGUGAAGAUAUUGGAACCCUUGUGCAUUGCUGGUGGGAAUGUAUAAAAGUGCAGCUGCUGUAGGAAACAGUUUGUUGAUUCCUAAAAAAGUUCAACACAAAUUUACCAUAUGACCCAGCAAUACCACUCCUAGAUAUAUACUCCAAAGAGCUGAAAACAGGAACUCAAACAGGGACCGUGGCCAGCCUGUGGAACCGUAGAGGACCAAGAGUCUGCUGCAGAGGAGGAUGUCUCCGUGGGCUAGAGGUUUGGGGGCUAGGAACUGAUUGCUGCACUCACCUCCCAGCUCACCUGUGACCACCCAGCUGGAGACAACAGACUGCCACCCUGCUGUGUUCACUGAGACAGAAGACCUACCUGCUGUUUCCAUCAAUCGGCUGUGCCAACAGAGUAGUCUCGCGACUAUUGUAAAAGGGACAGUCCAAUCAUAUGUGAAACAUCCUCUUUGAGGGUAUAUAAUGACCCUGUAUACCCCCCCACCUCUUUGGAGUGCUCUGUUCCUUUGUGGAAAGACUCUCCCGGGUUAUAAUCCUCAGAUUUAAGCUCAGAAUAAACUCACCC
rnacentral:lncRNA from 1 species